UACCUGCAGCCCAAGUGGUGAUCGCUAUUAUUGGGCCUAAAACGUCCGUAGCCGGUUCUAUAAAUGCCUGGGUAAAUCGUACGGCUUAACCGUACGAAUUCCGGGUAGACUGUUCAACUUGGGACCGGGAUAGGCUAGAGGUACUCCUGGGGUAGAGGUGAAAUUCUGUAAUCCUAGGGGGACCACCAGUGGCGAAGGCGUCUAGCUAGAACGGGUCUGACGGUGAGGGACGAAGCCUUGGGGAGCAAACGGGAUUAGAUACCCCGGUAGUCCAGGGUGUAAACGCUGCUCGCUUGAUGUUAGUCGGGCUCCGAGCCCAACUAGUGUCGGAGAGAAGUUGUUAAGCGAGCUGCCUGGGAAGUACGGUCGCAAGACUGAAACUUAAAGGAAUUGGCGGGGAGCACCGCAACGGGUGGAGCGUGCGGUUU
rnacentral:rRNA from 1 species